CUUGACCGAGCCGAGCCAGAGGGGGUGGCCUUCCGGGCGGUCCUGGCCGUAGGUGGCCAGCAGGGCCUGCGCCUC
rnacentral:antisense_RNA from 1 species